UCAAGCUCGUUAAGACUAGAUGG
rnacentral:siRNA from 1 species